rnacentral:autocatalytically_spliced_intron from 1 species
UAAAUCCUACCUAAGUAAUUUACUGUUCACUUAGAAGAGUUACUGACAGUGAUCGCCGUGAGGUGGAUAGCUGAAGCUCAGUGAUCUCAAAUAACCAAGCCGUAAUACGCAAGUGUGAACCCAUAGUAGCUUCGAAAAGGCAGGCGUAGAUGGGGAGAGUUUUGACGGUCUCGAACCCUGUUACAUUGUAUGAAUAAACAGUAACAUGAAGUGCAAUGAUCUACCGGAGUCAUAGGGAA